ensembl:lncRNA
CCUGCCGCUCAGCCCGAUGCCUCCUGCGAGCCUCCUCAGGGUGGCAGCUGGGUAAUGGAGUCUUUGUGAAGGCUCCUGCUGGGAGAUGAGGAAUCAAGAUAAUCCAUGGCCCCUGACAUGAGCCGUGCAGUCGCAGCGAACCAUUCCCGUUGAAACAAGGAAAUCUGGAAAUCAGGCGUCCAUCUCCAAGCUAAAGAAGACCAUAAAUAAUGCCUUCUUUUAAAGGUUGUUUUUGUGAUAUUUAAUUGAAGUACCCAUUAGUCUCUGAACUGCUACCUGAGAUCCAUCAGGUCAUAAAGAAAAAGAGGGUCAUACAAAGGACAAAACAGAAAUCCAACAGACCGGGCAAGGAAAAAAUAGUUGGGGAAAAUCAAAUGCUUGAAAGGUACUCAUUUAUGAAGAUAUAAAAAUAUUGUUCGACAUACGACGUAGCACAGCUUUCUUUCUUCUCCUUCUUUCUCAUCUUUCGUUCUUUUCGACUUCAACAUUUAUCUUAAUUCUUAAGUCUUUCUUACGCUUCUGUAGCUCUCUUUCCGCUUUUCUUUCUUUCCAAUGUUCUUUGUCUUCUUUUAAUAUUCCUUUUUUCCCACACCUGCAUCUUCUGAUCCUCCUUCUCGCAUUUGUUACAGUAUAUCAUCCUUUCUUACUUUUGUCUUCUUUCUAUCUAUCUUCUGAUCCACCUUGCCUUUAGAAUUACUUCAUCUUUCUUUCUCUCUCUUUUUGUCCUUAUUUCCUUCUUUCUCACACAUUUAUUUCUCUUUGUUACUUUCUUGCUUAUUCAUUCGCUUAUGUAUUCCUUCCUUCCUAUUUUUUCCCUUUCCUUUAUUUAGUUUUUCCUUCUUUAGUUUCUUCUUUCGUUCUUACUCUCUUUCUUUCGCGUUUCCUUGCCUCUUUCAAACCUUUACUUCCUGUCUCCCGUUGUGUAUUUCUAGUCUUUCUUAACUUUUAAUGACUUCAUCUUUCAUUCCUUCUUAACUUCCUUCCUUCAUUGUUUUUUUCCUUUCCUUUUUGUUUAUCCUUCUUUAGUCUUUAAUUUCAUUGUCCCACGGUCGUCCUUAUAAUAAUCGUUCCUUCUUUUAAAUUCUCCUCACCCUUCUUUCAUUAUUAUGCCCUCUGCUUCUUAUCUUACCUUCUUUCAUUCAUUCUUUCUUUCUUUCAGGUCAAGCCCAUAUGAAAUUUUACUGAAAGCUACUCGAGUAUAUAAAGAUAAAAUUCUGUAUAUGGUGUAUGAAACUCUAGAAGAGGUCAGUGUUUCACAGUGGACUGCCCAGUCACACAUGAUCACACACACUGUAAUGGCUCAGGAGCAAAUGUGCUUUUUCAUCAACAGACAUGGACAGUGGAAUUUGAGUUACCCAGCAUGCCAUGCUCACCUGCUGGAGCAGGAGGACGCUGUGUCUGGUUAUUGUGAAGCAGGACUCUGAAUUCUCCUCCAGGAGGCAAGAAGAACCUGCUGGGAGGCAGCGCUUCAUUAAGUAACGAAGGACAGAUCAAGCCCCGAUUGUAGACCUCCAUCUGGCUGCCUGGGUGAAGGAGCUUCUGCUGGAGAUGCAGUGCUCCAUCCUCACACUCACUCAAAUUCUCUCUUCCUUUCAACUUUUUGCUCUGUUCUUCCAAGCUUUUUUCUUUGCUCUUUUGUUCAUAUUACAAACUAAGUGCUCUCACUCUUCUUUCCACUGUAUCCAUACUCCGUCCAUCAUCCACCCAUAAUCCCCACAGUCUCCCUCCAAAUCUAUUCAUCCAUCCAGCUGUAGU